AACGAACGCUGGCGGCAUGCCUAACACAUGCAAGUCGAACGAGACCUUCGGGUCUAGUGGCGCACGGGUGCGUAACGGGUGGGAACCUGCCCUUAGGUUCGGAAUACCUCCCCGAAAGGGGUGCUAAUACCGGAUAAUGUCUUCGGCCCAAAGAUUUAUCGCCUUUGGAUGGGCCCGCGUUGGAUUAGCUUGUUGGUAGGGUAAAAGCCUACCACGGCGACGAUCCAUAGCUGGUCUGAGAGGAUGAUCAGCCACACUGGGACUGAGACACGGCCCAGACUCCUACGGGAGGCAGCAGUGGGGAAUAUUGGACAAUGGGCGAAAGCCUGAUCCAGCAAUGCCGCGUGAGUGAUGAAGGCCUUAGGGUUGUAAAGCUCUUUUACCCGGGAUGAUAAUGACAGUACCGGGAGAAUAAGCUCCGGCUAACUCCGUG
rnacentral:rRNA from 1 species